rnacentral:rRNA from 1 species
UUUAAUAAUAUUAUUUUUUUAUUUUGUUUAAGAUAAUGUUUAAUAGAAGUAUCUUUUUUAAUUUUUGUCUAAGUAUUUUUAAGAAUUGAUUUAUUAAAUUUUAGUUAAUUAGUAUGGUAAUUGAAUUAUGAUUUAAUUAUAAGUAUGGAAGUACUUUAUAUAGGGUACCUUUUGUAUCAGGGUUGAUCUAUAUUUUUGUAUAGAUUUUUACUUAUCUCGAUUUAGGUUGAUCUAUAUUUUGAAUUUAUUUUUAUUGUUUUAUCAAUAUUUUUAAUUUGGGUAUAGAAGUGAUAUGUUAUUCUUUUCCUAAGGUUUCUAGUUUUUCAAGAAAAAAUUUAAUUUUUUAUAGUAUUAUUGUUUAAUUACAAUUUUUUGUUUUUAAUUAUUUACUUAUUUAUAUUUUGGGGGAUAAGCUCUAUUAUAUUAUUCUAUAAUUUUUUAUUUUUAUCAAAAAGUAGGCUUUUAACCAGCUAUCUUUUAGAUUAAGUUUUAUUUCAUUUUUAAUUGAAAUUUUAUAAUUAUUUUAGGAAUUUUAUUGAAAUAUUUAAAUUAAUUUUUUAUUUUUUGUAAUAAUGAUUGAAUUAGUAUAUUUUUUGUUUAAAUUAUUUUUUUAAAAAAUUUAAUUUAAGGAACUUGGCAAAUAAACCCCCGCCUGUUUAUCAAAAACAUGUCUUUUUGAUAAUAAUUUAAAGUCUGACCUGCUCACUGAAUUAAUAUAUUUAAAGAGCCGCGGUAUUUUGACCGUGCAAAGGUAGCAUAAUCAUUAGAUUUUUAAUUGUAGUCUAGAAUGAAUGGUUUGACGAGGGGCUGACUGUCUCAAUUAUUAAUUGAUAAAAUUUAACUUUUAAGUUAAAAGGCUUAAAUUUGACUUUAGGACGAGAAGACCCUAUAGAGCUUUAUAUAUAAUUGAAAAUAGGGUUUUGAUAAUUUAUUUUAUUUAUUACUAAUAUAUUUUGUUGGGGUGACAUGAAGAAUAAUUAAACUCUUUAGAUUUGUAAAUCAUUAAUUUAUGAAAGGUUGAUCCAUUAUUUGUGAUUAAAAGAUUAAGUUACCUUAGGGAUAACAGCGUAAUUGUUUUUUAGAGUUCUUAUCAACAAGACAGAUUGCGACCUCGAUGUUGGAUUAAGAUAAGUACUAGUUGUAUCAGUUUAGUAACUAGGUCUGUUCGACCUUUAAUUUCUUACAUGAUCUGAGUUCAGACCGGUGUGAGCCAGGUCGGUUUCUAUCCUAAGUUUAUACAAUGUUAUAUUAGUACGAAAGGACCAUAUAGUUGAAAUAUUUUUGUUUAUUGUUGAUUAUUAUUAAUUA